GAUGAACGCUGACAGAAUGCUUAACACAUGCAAGUCUACUUGAUCCUUCGGGUGAUGGUGGCGGACGGGUGAGUAACGCGUAAAGAACUUGCCUUGCAGUCUGGGACAACGUCUGGAAACGGACGCUAAUACCGGAUAUUAUGGUUGAAUCGCAUGAUUUGAUUAUGAAAGCUAUAUGCGCUGCGAGAGAGCUUUGCGUCCCAUUAGUUAGUUGGUGAGGUAACGGCUCACCAAGACGAUGAUGGGUAGCCGGCCUGAGAGGGUGAACGGCCACAAGGGGACUGAGACACGGCCCUUACUCCUACGGGAGGCAGCAGUGGGGAAUAUUGGACAAUGGACCAAAAGUCUGAUCCAGCAAUUCUGUGUGCACGAUGAAGUUUUUCGGAAUGUAAAGUGCUUUCAGUUGGGAAAAAGAAAGUGACGGUACCAACAGAAGAAGCGACGGCUAAAUACGUGCCAGCCGCCGCCGUAA
rnacentral:rRNA from 1 species